AAAAUGAGUUCAUUGAUGAUGCAUUGCUUGAUUCACGUUCCAGAACUAAUGAAUGUUAAAGGGAUUGGUAGAUUUGAAAACAUGUGUAGGUCGAGAAUAUGAGUCGGAUUGAUUGAUAACAAGGCAUGGCUAACGUUUUUGAGUAGAAUUCGAUCAUAUUGCAGCUUAGAACUUUCAACUUGGACAUUGAUUUCAUCUAGUUUAUCUGGUGCUUUGGCUCUGAGUCCCCGCUUUCAAACCUCACCUCCAGCUUGUUCUUGAUUGUUUGCUUGAGGGCAAGCAAAGACUAAGUUUGGGGGAGUUGAUAAGUGUGUAUUUUGCAUGUUUUGAGCAUCCAUUUCUCAUCAUUUAUCAUCACUUUACAUGUUUAGGAUAGAUUUGCAUGCAUGUUGCAUAUUUGCGUUGAUUUCAGGUGAUUUGCAGCCGUUGACGAGCUAUCUGGAAGAAGCGGACCUGAUCAUGACAAAACCACUCGACCCAGAGGUCGAGUAGAAGCUUCAAGAUCUCAAGAGACCACUCGACCCCCAGGUCGAGUAGAAGACAUCACAACUUCACCUCACCACUCGACCACGAGGUCGAGCGUCUUCAUCUCCAUCACCUGACCAUCACUCGAUCACAUCACUCGACCCCGAGGUCGAGUGUCUUCACCUUCAUUGACAGACCACUACUCGACCUCAUCACUCAACCAGG
rnacentral:sRNA from 1 species